GCUCUCCCAGAUCAUCAAUCAAGUUGAUGUUUGCUUUACCUCAGCAAUAAAAGACUAAGGCAGGUGCUGUGCCCACAAGCCUCCUUGCGUGUCAGAGAAUGUUCUUCUCCGGUCUCACCAGCCUCCUCCCGAGCUGUGGAGCAGAAGCCGCACUUUGCAAGAAGCCAUCACAAAAGGCACCAGUACUGAACAAACAGCAACACAACGCUCCAUCAAAUAGAUGGUGGAAAAAGCGGAAGGGCCAGAAACUAAAUCAGGACAGUGCCUUUUACGAACAGGCUCCAAGCCUUUCCAUUAGAAAAAAAAAGAAAAAGAGUUAUCAGAUGAGUAAACACAGCCUACCUCUGAAUGAGGAUUCAACGAUCCUUAGAAGGGUUAUCAGCCAGGCCAACUAGCCUCGGAGAGCUCAUGGAAACCCCUCUUAUCUCCUGGAAAAAUAAAUAUGAGAAACACAAUAAAGCUACUCUCA
rnacentral:lncRNA from 1 species